rnacentral:rRNA from 1 species
GUAGGGAAUAUUGGACAAUGGGCGCAAGCCUGAUCCAGCCAUGCCGCGUGAGUGAAGAAGGCCCUCGGGUUGUAAAGCUCUUUUGUCCGGAAAGAAAAGCGCCGGGUUAAUACCCUGGUGUCCUGACGGUACCGGAAGAAUAAGCACCGGCUAACUUCGUGCCAGCAGCCGCGGUAAUACGAAGGGUGCAAGCGUUACUCGGAAUUACUGGGCGUAAAGCGUGCGUAGGUGGUUCGUUAAGUCUGAUGGUAAAGCCCUGGGCUCAACCUGGGAAUUGCAUUGGAGACUGGCGGGCUAGAGUGCGGUAGAGGGUAGUGGAAUUCCCGGUGUAGCAGUGAAAUGCGUAGAGAUCGGGAGGAACAUCCGUGGCGAAGGCGACUACCUGGACCAGCACUGACACUGAGGCACGAAAGCGUGGGGAGCAAACAGGAUUAGAAACCCCGGUAGUCC